AUUGAACGCUGGCGGCAGGCCUAACACAUGCAAGUCGAGCGCGAAAGUCUUCGGAUGAGUAGAGCGGCGGACGGGUGCGUAACGCGUAGGAAUCUACCUAGUAGUGGGGGACAACUCGGGGAAACUCGAGCUAAUACCGCAUACGCCCUAAGGGGGAAAGUGGGGGACCGUAAGGCCUCACGCUAUUAGAUGAGCCUGCGUAGGAUUAGCAAGUUGGUAGGGUAAAGGCCUACCAAGGCGACGAUCCUUAGCUGGUCUGAGAGGAUGAUCAGCCACACUGGAACUGAGACACGGUCCAGACUCCUACGGGAGGCAGCAGUGGGGAAUCUUGCACAAUGGGCGAAAGCCUGAUGCAGCCAUGCCGCGUGUGUGAAGAAGGCCUUCGGGUUGUAAAGCACUUUAAGUGGGGAGAAAAGGGUAGUCAUUAACACUGGCUAUCUGUGAUGUUACCCACAGAAUAAGCACCGGCAAACUUCGUGCCAGCAGCCGCAGUAA
rnacentral:rRNA from 1 species